rnacentral:rRNA from 1 species
UGGAAAAGGAUGUGGGAUUUCGAAGACAGCUAGGAUGUUGGCUUAGAAGCAGCCAUACAUUAAAAGAGUGCGUAACAGCUCACUAGUCGAGAGGUCCUGCGCCGAAAAUGUCCGGGGCUAAACACACCACCGAAGCCUAGGAAUGUAUAUUAUACAUUGGUAGAGGAGCAUUCUUAGAGGCGUAGAAGCCAUACCGGAAGGAAUGGUGGAGUAAUAAGAAGAGAGAAUGCCGGAAUGAGUAGCGAGAAAGAGGUGAGAAUCCUCUUGGCCGAAUAUCUAAGGUUUCCUGAGUAAAGCUGAUCUACUCAGGGUAAGUCGGGGCCUAAGGCAAGGUCGAAAGACGUAGUCGAUGGAUAACAGGUACAGAUUCCUGUACUACAUAUAAUCAGAACUGUGGGGACACGGAGACUAAAACCGAACCCGGGAGGACAAAAACCGGGGCAAGCGAAGUACCUGUAUGGGAGGAAAAACCACCAUGCAAAGGGAAAACGUGAUGCGUACCGAAGUUUAGUAGGGAAGUCGGUUAGGGAGCCGUCAAGAAAAGCCGCUAUUGUGUUAUAUGUACCCGUACCGCAAACCGACACAGGUAGAUGAGGAGAGAAUCCUAAGGCCGGCGGGAGAAGCAUUGUUAAGGAACUCGGCAAAAUGACCCCGUAACUUCGGGAGAAGGGGUGCCACUAGAAAUAGUGGUCGCAGAAAAAAGGCUCAAGCAACUGUUUAGCAAAAACACAGGUCUAUGCGAAACCGCAAGGUGAAGUAUAUGGGCUGACGCCUGCCCGGUGCUGGAAGGUUAAGAGGAGAAGUCAGGCAACGAAGCUUUGAAUUGAAGCCCCAGUAAACGGCGGCCGUAACUAUAACGGUCCUAAGGUAGCGAAAUUCCUUGUCGGGUAAGUUCCGACCCGCACGAAAGGCGUAAUGAUUUGAGCGCUGUCUCAACAAUGCACCCGGUGAAAUUGAAGUACCAGUGAAGAUGCUGGUUACCCGCGCCAGGACGGAAAGACCCCAUGGAGCUUUACUCCAGUUUGGUACUGGGAUUCGGUAAUACUCGUACAGGAUAGGUGGGAGACUAAGAAGCAUGGACGCCAGUUUAUGCAGAGUCGCCGUUGGGAUACCACCCCUGUAUUGCUGGAUUUCUAACCUGCACCCGUUAUCCGGGUGGGGGACAAUGCCAGACGGGGAGUUUGACUGGGGCGGUCGCCUCCGAAAGAGUAUCGGAGGCGCUCGAAGGUUCCCUCAGAAUGGUCGGAAACCAUUCAAAGAGUGCAAAGGCAGAAGGGAGCUUGACUGCGACACCGACGGGUGGAGCAGGUACGAAAG